UCUAUGGAGUCACAUAGAGUUGGACACAACUGAAGUGACUUAGCAGCAGCAGAUUCUCAGAAAUUUUUCACAAUAAAUUCCUAAAGCAUACCUCUUUCUUUCCAAACAUGCAAAAUAUUCAGAUUCCCAUGGGUGGUGAUGGAGAUAUACCUUGUUUUUAAAAUUAAUUCUGGGGACUAGAAAUAAAAAUACGCUUUCCAGUGUGACAGGGAUGAUUCUGUGAAGACUGUGAUCAGUGAAAAAUGACUGCUCCCCCCAGCAGCCAGAACACUAUGCUCCUUUUCAGAAUACUUCUCUUUAAUAAUGUGUUUAAUAAUGUGACUCUUCUCUUCAUGCAUUUUCCCUGCCAGAUUAUGAGCUCCUUGAGAACAGAAACUGCCUAACUUGUUCAUCACUCUACUCCUGCACCAAGGGCAGUGACAAGCUGAUGGUAGAUGUUGGCUGAGUGGGUGGAUGGCUAGAUGGAUGAUGCCAUCCUGUGGGGUGAAAGCAAAGAACAGCCCCCUGACUGAGAAUGGGAUAGAAGAUGGGAGGGUUUGAUCAUAGGAAGAGGAAAAUCAUCCAGAACUGCCUAGAAGUGAAGGUCUGAUCAGGUCAGCCUGCUGGUCCAAGGUGGCAGCAAAUUGGGGAAGACAAGAUGGAGACAUUGGACAAAGAGGAAGAAACCAGAAUUGGGAUGAAAGGAGCCGUUUGCUGAGGCUAUUCAAGGCAAUGGGAUGACCACCAAAGAGAUGACUUUGGUUAUGUACUCCUCCCAAGGGUUAAGCACUGGAAGAUGACAAGAGGGAAGCAGAGCCCCUAGAGAUCGCCCUGGAACCAAACCACCCUAAAUGGAGCCGGGAGGUCUGUCAAUUCCCAGAGAGCACGGAGGAAAUGGUCUCUAAGUGAAAGUGCAAGGCAUUCAUCACUGUCACCACUAUCACCAAACCAUGACCUCACCGUGUUUGAGAGGGGGAAAGCAAUGCUUCAUUCUAUUCAAUAUUUUUCUGCUCUAAUUCAAAUAAGUACCUGUUUCUGGAUACUAGGGAAAAUGGAACAUGGCACAGCUGAACUUAAAACGGCAAAGCCAAGAGCAAAAGCAACGCGCACAGCCAAAGGAGACCUUGGAAGAUGCGUAGAUAAAACAAAAAGCUGUGCUUGGCCCGGACGCUCUUUUGGAAUCAGAGGCAAAAUGGAGAACAUUGUUCCCAUUGUAAAGAUUUUGCAAUCUAUGAUAUCUGGAAUAGAAAGGCAUCAUGCCAUCUACCUUGACGUUCAGAAGCUGUGCUAUUGCUAUGAGUUAUGAUACUUGUUCCUGAACCAGAGUGGUCAGAGGUGGGGUGGAAUUCCUGUGGUGGACCAGAAUUUAAACUCCGCUUAAACAGUGCUUUCCCAUGGCAACCACUGUCCAUUUUCCUUCCCCCACCCGCCCCAGCUCCCCACCCCCACCUGAACCAUAGAAUUUUUAUUUAAAUAUUCACUCUUCUCUUCAUCCCCAUCUCUCCACAAAGGGUCAUUAUUUACUUAUUAUACUCAGCCCUUAAAUGUCAACUUUUUUAGGACAAGUGUAUAGCUGAUUCUCUCUGCUUCUCAUGAAGACUUCUUUUGUUGGCCAAAUCCUAUCAUCUUGAAAGCCUUGCUGACCCCAAGAAGUUGAAUCUUGAACCCCACAAAUCUCAAUACUUUUUAUCUCUUGGGUGCCCAUUUUGGUAGAGCAAAGGGGCCUCCCUCAAUCCUAAGACUCCUCCCCACUUCCUCCUUUUCUCCUAGUAACUCUUGCCACUGGCCAAAGAUUUAUUAGACCCUAGUUUUGUCCCUAUGCCUCUUGCCACUAGCUAUAAAUUGCCUUUUCGCAAAUUAGACAAAGCUACCCUACCUCAAGACACUUUGCUGCCAUCUGCCAGAAAACUAUUGUAAUAAAUAUGCCAAGAGAUCAUGACUAGAAUGUGAAUGGUGCCCCCUAGAAUUGUGCGGUGUACAACUGGUACAACUGUAUGUGAAAACCCCGUACUUGGAAAUCACCUGAGCUAUCCUGGAAGCUGGCUGUAUGAAUAAGAACACAGUACAUCAGUCUUGCCUUUUUAUGCCAGUUGGCAAUUUCAAAAUCUAAAUCACUUGGCCAUGAUCAAAAAUUGCUGAGAGGCAAUUUCUGGAAAAGACCAAGAGCCCCCGGGUAGCAAUAUUCAUAAGAGUAAAGGGUUCUUAUUCAGCCCCAGAUUUGGCCUACUGGCUGGGUAUAUACAACCCAAACCACCUUGGCUUGAUUUUCAGGAAGCAUCACUUAGAAAGCUCGUAAGUCUCAGUGUUGGGGGUGAAGGCGGAAAGUGAACUUGGCUUAUGUUUAGGUCAACCUUUCCCCCUCCCUGGCACUGGCUGCUUCAUUCUUGUUGAUUGCUCUAUCUGUUCCCCUCCCUCCUUCACAUUCAGUACAACCUACAUGUCCUAGUGAUCUUCUGCCAUAAAACAGACUACCCC